UCCCAGGACCCCAGGAUCAUGACCUGAGCUGAAGGCAGACAUUUAACAGACUGAACCACUCAGGUGCCCCUGAAUCUCAAUUUUUUUCAUCUGUAAAGUGAGAGAUAAAGCCUAUCCAGGUUGUUAGGAUUUGGUGAGAUAAGCCGUCACAGCUCAUGGCACAUAGAAGGCUCUAGAAAAUGGUAGCCAUUAAAGAGCCAAUUUUCACCUUGGCUCUCAUGGGCAAGUGUCAUUCAGAACCCUCUCACAAUCAUAUCUAGGGUAUCCCGCUGAUAAUUGCACAGACUGCCACCUCUCCUAGUUUAGCCUCAGUUUCUCAGGAUGAAACACAAGAUAUCCCCUAAGGAGCCUUGCAAAGGGCAGUGAGAGAGUCAUGUGCUGGAGAUGGAGUGGGAGGGAGGUGUCAGGAGAGGGUCAGGGGGGACUUGGUACAAGAGACUGAAGGAAUACCAAGAGCUCUCAUGAUGAAAUGUCAUGGCCAUAAAUAAGAUGAUACAAGAAGGAAAGGGAACAGGAAAGGGGUGGGGGAUGCAACUUUGAAAUAGAUAAUUGUGAUUACUGCAUUUUAGGAUUAAAGGAAACUUAGGAUCCAGUUGAGUGGUUAGUCUUUUAAAAAAAAAAUAAAAUCUUGCACAGAAUCAAAAUCUGCAAAAUAGAUAAAGGCGAGCCGCCCUGGAUAAAAUGAGAGCUUGGGGAGCAGUUGGUUUGGUUUCCAUGCAGGGCUGCUAGGAACAAAGUUUGAAAACCAGAUCUGGGUCAAUGCAGGAAUCCAACACCACCACAAAUAUCCACUCACUUGCACUUCCCAAAUGAAUUACCUCUUGCAUUGUCCACCCCCAAACUUAGUGUCUUAAAACAACGAUUUUAUUUGCUCCUGAGUCAGUUGGGCUGAGCACAGCAGGGAGUCUCUGGGGGUUACCUCUGCAGCUGCAUCAUCUGGAGGCAAAAAGGGGGCUGGAUGGGCUAAGAUGGCCUUACUCACACAUCUGGUAGUUGGCGCUGGCUCCCUGCUGGGCUUCUCUUCCAGGAGAACCACUCCGAGACUGUACAUAGCACUGAGUUCUAAGGGGACAGGCUUAGAAGCUGAAAGUUCUUUAGAGAUAUGAGGUAGGAAGUCCCAUAAUAUCACUUUUGCCACAUCCUACUGGUCAAAGCAAGUCACAAGAGCAGAUCAGAUUCAAAUUGAAGGUAUGGAGAAAUAGACUCUUGAUGGGAGGAAUGUCAGAGUCACAUUGAAAAGAGUUGCUUGCACAGGAAUGGGAGGAAUUUGGGGCUAUUUUUUUUUUUCAAAAUACAAAAUCUCAUUUUCUGCAACCUUUUUUUCAAUAAGCUUGGCAUAUAUCUGGUAUAUGAAGAUGAUAACUUGUAGUAUACGUGGGUGAAUGUGGCAAACCCUGCUAUUAUAUAAACCCUCUCAUUAUUCGUUCUCCAUUUUUUUCUUAUUUACAGAACCUCAGUUCUUUUUUUUCCAGACUGGCCAUGUGCCCAGUUACAAAUAUUCACCCUCCCAGAUUUCCUAAUAGCUGGAGUGAACACAUGACCCAAUUCUGGCCAAUGAAUGUAAUCAGUAGUCUCCUGGGUAGGGUCUCCAGGAGAGCUGUUGUUUUCUUGAUCAAAGGGAGCAAGCUCUCUGGCACUUGCCUUUUGCAUUUUUCCCUGCUCCCUUCCUGUCCCCCUCCUGCCUGGAACCCAUGUGGAACAUUUACAGGUGGAGCAGACAUUUUGAAACCAUGAGACUAGAUGAAUAGAAACACAGAAGAAGCCUGAUCUCCAAUGGCAUCAUGGUACAUCUUCUCUAGUCAUGGACUCCCUAUAUCUGAGCUUCUCAUUCUCUGGAAAAAAAUAAACCCUACUUAGUUAAGUCUGUUAGAGCUGUGGUUUCUCCUAUUGAAACAGGGAGUGACAGUGAGAUGAGACUGGGAAGGAGAGCAGAAGGCUGACUGACCAUCAAGGCCCAUGACUGGAAGACACCAUCAUUGCUAUGCACACUGAAAUGAAUUUCUGUCUUUUGCUGUGCUCAUGUGUGUUUGUGUGUAUUUGGAGGUGCCUGAGUCUAGAGAUAGAUGGUUUCGGUAUAGGGAUGAUCAUUUGUAUAUAAGGAAUUGCUGUUGUUUUUGCAAAAUUUAAAAUCAAAUUGGAGUCCAGAGUUUGAAAAGCUGAAAUAAAUUGAAAGUGAAAAAAUAAGUUCAGUAGUAAUGACUAUAAAUGCUUGUACUUAGAUUUUUAAAAAAGAUGUCAGCAUGGGAGAGCUUAGUUUCACAGCCUGAGGGUUGGAGUUGACUGCAAAGGCUUAGAAUGAGCUCACAGAAUGAGCUGUGAGUGCCAAAAGCUCUGGCUCACCCUCUAUGAUGAUUAUCUAGGCUCCAGAAUGCAGAGAGCAGACGUCCCUCAGCCUCUACAUGGUCAGAGCAUUGGGGGUGAGCAUAUGUCCAUCCUAGGACUGACAAAUGGAGCCCAGUCAGAGAAAGACAAGGAUGACAUCCAGGACCUGGGAAAGUUUAGCUUUGACAAGAGAAGACAUGGAGGAGCCUGAAAUGAUAAUAGCUGUAAUAAGUCAUCUAUCACUGUAUACAAACCACACCUAAAACUAAGUGGCUUAAACCAACAGCAACCAUUCAUUUGCUCAGGAUUCUGCAGUCUGGGCUGGAGAGAUUUUUUUUUUUCUCUGCCCCAUGUAGUGUAAUGGGAGUUGGGCUCACUGACACACUUGCAGCCAGCUGGCAGGUUGACUGGGGCUGGAGGAGCCAUGAUUGCUUCACUGGCAUGUCUGUCACCUCGACUGGGAUGACUGGACUGGCUGCACCCCUCUGCUUCUUGGGCCCUUUCAAACCAGUUCUCCACAAGGCUGUCAUCUGCAAGGAGGCAAGCCCAGGCUUCAUGGCUUCUCAGAACGCUGUUCCUUAGUCUCUUCAAGAGACCAGGAAGUAGAAGAAAAUGAAGAACUUGGAGCCAGAAGUCAGUCUCUGCCAACAGGAACAAUGGGUGCAAUUGUGCUUUUCACAAAGCAGCAACUGCUCUCAAGGAGGAUGAAAUGAAAACAUGUGUGUGCUAUUGCAAUCAUGAGGAUCUCAGCAUGGGGACUUCCGGAUGGACAAUUCCAGAAUCUUAGGGUGCUGGGAAGAUUAUCCUUCCAGAGAGAUUCUAUAGCAAAAGUCAGAGAGUGGCUACUUGCUGGGUGAGCUCUCCAAGCAAGAGAAAAUGCAAGUAUGUGCUUUCUUCAAAACCAAGGUAGGGGAAUGAUGCUGCUGGACGGUCUUCAUUUUAGUUCCUCCUCUUUCUUCUGUCUGUCUGGUCUUGCUUUCUCUCUUCAACGUGGUGUUUGUGUUCUGUUUCUCACAACCUGCUAUAUUUACAGAUCAAAAGACAAAUUUCUAAAAAUUCACUGACCCAACUCUCUCACCUCUGCUGAUGACUCUCAAGAGUCUGUUUCUAGCCCUGACCCCAUUCCCAAGUGCCUGAUGAAAAUCUCUAGCUAGAUGUCCACCCUAAGUUCCAUUUUUUUUUAAGAGGCCAUCCUUCUCUCAAAACGGUUCCAACUUCCAACUAUGAUAAGCUAGUAAAUAAGGGAUAUGUUUUUUAUUUUAAAAAAAUAUUUUUUUUACUCUUCACUCUCUUUCAUUCCCCAUUCCAACCUGUUCCCAAAACCUGGUACAUCUUCCUGUAAAAUGGCUCUUGAAGUCCUCUCAUUCCUUUCCAGGUCUUCUCUUGCGAUCCUGCUUCAAGUCUUCUUUCUCAGACAUUUGGUUCCUAUCCCUACUUCUCAUUACCUCUUUACCUCCACCACUCUCUCUCCCAUUUAUUUGAACACAAUGUGAUCUUCCUAUCAGUCAGACAAGUCUAGGCUAUGCUGUGAUAACAAAUCACUCCAUGGGCAGCUCUGGUGGCUCAGCAGUUUAGCACCGCCUUCAGCCCAGGGCCUGAUCCUGGAGACCUGGGAUCGAGUCCCACGUCAGGCUUCCUGUACGGAGCCUGCUUCUCCCUCUGCCUGUGUCUCUGCCUCUCUCUGUCUCUCAUAAAUAAAUAUCUUAAAUAAAAAAAAAAAGUUUAAAAAAACAAAUGACUCCAAAAUCUCAAGCUUAACACAAUAAAGGCUAACUUCUUAUUUGCAUUAUAUAUUCAUCAUGUACUUGCUGUAGCUCUGCUCCAAGUUGUCAUUCUGGGACCUAAAUGAAUGGGACCUUCCCUGUUUGGGACCAUGUCGUUCUCAGUGCAAAGGGAAAAGAGAACAUGUGAACCAUGCUACAAUCAUCAACACUUUUGCCUAGAAAUGGCACAUAUCCCUUUUACCUUUCAUGGACAAAAGUGUCACAUGCACAAGUCUGAUGUUAUCUAGGCAGAGAUGUGUAAGCCUUUCAUAGGAAAAGGAAAUAAAUGAUUGUCACUAUAGUUGGCCCCAGUACUUGUUCCUACAUUUCAGUUUUCCUCUUCUCCCUAGGACUUAAAUGCCAUGUGUUGAAACCCCAGCCAUCUCACUGUCCUGUUUACUCUCUUUGGCUCAGAGUGAUUUCUCUUUUCCAUGACUUUUAGUUGACUUUAUAAUCAGUAGUCCCCUUACUGGAUUUGUUUUAGGUGCCUACCUGCCCAUGGCCCUUCAGGUGGUCUUGUGAUCCGCUACUCCUGGCCACAGCUCACUGGAUCUUCAGGUCAGAAACCAAGCCCACAGAUUCACUCAGCCAGGUGGCCCAGCUAUUAUCACCUGUCAGAGACCAUGGCAGUCUCUCAGGGACGGAUCAGAGGAUACAACUUGGAAGGACAAGAUAUUGGUUCAUUCUUAGGAACACAUAUGAACAUUCCUAGGCUUUUUGGAAUGCUUCAUGCCUAGGACCAGAAGGUUGGCAUGCCUGGAAAAUCUGUGACUUGCUUGGUUUGCAUCUCUCUGCUGUGCCAAUGUGCAACUCCUCAGCCCCCUGGAGGUACUAAACAAAGGCACUUUGGGAAGGCUUUUUGUAAAGACCUGGCUGGAAACCUUGUUCUCCCAAGGGGCCAGGCCUGCCAGACCAUCAUCAGGCAAUAGCUGGUAGUCCCUGAGGAAGACAUGAACAAGAAGCCGUUUGAAAGCAUUAUCUUCUAGAAAAUAAAUUUCAAAACAAGGAAGAAACCACAGCUCAGACAGACGUGAGCGGAUGUUCAGUAACCUGGGUUCAUGGGAAGACCAUCAAGAAGAGGUAUUGCACAAUUUUUGCACCUUCCCUUCAUGAUUGCUGAGCAGUUUACUCAAUCUGAUUUCACCCGGAUUAUUCUGAUGCGACACUGAGUGCGAAGGACAAGGCACUAGAUGAUUUGGUUAAGGUCAAUAUGCCAAGUCAGUAUGAGUCGCUAUUUUGGCUUCUCAAUUCCACUCUCUGAACCUUUUUUCUGUGGAAAUGUAUUGUAAGCUGGAACCCACCUGAGAUGACCCAGAAAACGCUGAGCACCAAUCUUCUCCCUAUGCCUCUGAAUGAAUCAGGCAUUCAGGGCUGUGUGGGGCCAGGGCCUUGGGGCAGAGUCCCUGUAAAGGUUGCACAUGUUGCAGACUCCUGCAUUACAUUUUCUUCCACAGCAGGGAAGAGGGAAGAACAGGCCAGAAAGGCCCAGAAACUCAGGCCAGCCUAGGAGAUAGGGAUGAGGGCUGCUAUCCCGAAAGCCGUCAGGAAUGCAGAGACUGGCUCUCCAGAGAGUACCGUCCUGAGUUCAGGGAGGUAGCUCCCAAGAGAGAAACAUAUAUUCUGAGUCUAGUCAUGCAGAGAAGCAACAAUGCCAUAUGCAGCUCUACAGAAAACAGAACACAAAAAAUGUCUUCCUUUUAAUUACUGAGGGUGUAGGGAAAUAGGAACUCGCAUACUCUGCUGGUGGGAAUACAAACUUGGAAAAAUUUGGUUGGUUGGCAACUUAGUAAUGUAUGUUGGAGGCAGAGACAAUGCUUUGCAUUCACCAAACUCUGUGUUUUCUUCCUAGACACAUAGGAAAACUGCAUUUCCCACCCACGGUUGCAGUUAGGAGCAGUCAUGUGAUCGAGUUCCAGACAACUGGAAACUGGGCAGAAGAAAUGUUAUGAGUCAAUUUCAAGUCUAGCCCUAAAACCACCCGUGCAGUUCUCCAUUCUCUCUCUUUUCCUUCUCCUUCUCUCUCUCUCUCCUGCUCCCUCAUUUUCUCCUUCCCCUUUCACCUAUCAGCUGAAAUCAGAGGAUCCAUUGAAGAACUCUAAAUCUCUGGAAAAUGGAAAGCCAUCAUAUGAACAAAUCCUGGAUCCAGCAAACUGUAUAGAGCUCCUUCUACCCCACAAACAGAUGUGACCUACACUGAACUGUAAAAUAAGAGAGAAAUACAUUUCUUUAUUGUGCUAAGCCAAUGAGAUGGGGAAGGGGGGCGGUGUUACAAUAUUUAGCCUAUCUUGACUGAUGUGAUAUCAAAAUCCUUUAAAAUGUCACAGCCAGAAGCUUUGACCUGGCAGUUACAUGCUUUGGAACAUAGCCAAAGGAAAUAAUUAAGAAUAGUCACUAUAGUAUAAAAGUUGUAAAUAACAUUAACUUCCAACAAUGAGAGUCAUUAAAGAAUAAUACAACUCUGCAAAGAAA